rnacentral:rRNA from 1 species
CGAAAACUUGGCAAUGCGAGCAAUCGUGACCAGGGAACUCCAAGUGGCUGGGGUAAUACCCAGUUUUUUCUUGACUCUUCAAAGGUCUUGGAAUAAGGGGUGGGUAAGGACGGUGCCAGCCGCCGCGGUAAUACCGGCGCCUCAAGUGGUAGUCGCUUUUAUUGGGCCUAAAACGUCCGUAGCCGGUCUGGUGCAUUCGUGGGUAAAUCAACCCGCUCAACGGGUUGAAUUCUGCGAGCACGGCCAGACUUGGGACCGGGAGAGGUGUGGGGUACUCUCAGGGUAGGGGUAAAAUCCUGUCAUCCUGAGAGGACCACCUGUUGCGAAGGCGCCACACUAGAACGGAUUCGACGGUCAGGGACGAAACCUAGGGGCACGAACCGGAUUAGAUACCCGGGUAGUCCUAGGUGUAGACGCUGUGGACUUGAUGUUGGGGGUGCUCCGAGUACUCUCAGUGUCGAAGCGAAGGUGAUAAGUCCACUGCCUGGGGAGUACGGUCGCAAGGCUGAAACUUAAAGGAAUUGGCGGGGGAGCACUGCAACCUGAGGAUUGUGCGGUUUAAUUGGACUCAACGCCGGA